rnacentral:rRNA from 1 species
GACGUAGGGCGCGAGCGUUGUCCGGAUUUAUUGGGCGUAAAGGGCGCGUAGGCGGCGCCACAAGUCACUUGUGAAAACUCUGGGCUCAACUCAGAGCCUGCAAGCGAAACUGUGGUGCUGGAGUAUGGGAGAGGUGCGUGGAAUUCCCGGUGUAGCGGUGAAAUGCGUAGAUAUCUGGAGGAACACCGGUGGCGAAGGCGGCAUCCUGGACCGGCAUUGACGCUGAGGCGCGAAAGCCAGGGGAGCAAACGGG